UUUUCGGCUCUCUAAA
rnacentral:sRNA from 1 species